CCGGCGCAGUCCCCUCCUCGCCGCUCCUCAGCUGGGAGCCGCCCCGGCCCAGGGCCCUUCAGUCACACCUCCGGGUCCCCCUCACUCGCACACCGCAGUCUCUGACUGGUGCUGUUGACUGUUCCAGCUCUGUCUCGCCCUUCAUUCAGGUCUCUUCAAAGGUCAUCUGCUUCCUUAACCACCUACAGAAGUCAACUCCCGCCCACCCCAGUCGCUCCCGGGCUGGAUCCCGCUCCUGUUCUUCUCUGUGGCCCCGGAAGACCUUGUCUAUUCAUGUAUUACCCACCUACCCCCAACACAAGGUCAGCUCCACGAGGGGAGGGAUUCAUCGGAGCCUAGAACAGUGCCUGGCACACGGCAGGGCCUCAGUGAGCAUCUUUGAGAGAGACUUGAUCCUAAUUACCUGCAGAGAAGAGGCAGUUUCGAGAAGAAACAGGACAGAAAAGCAAGAAGGAAACCAUGAGCAAGAGCUCAGCCGAGGGAGCACUGUGGGGCGUCCCUUUCUUGUCCUGAACCACAGACUUAGGACGCCACGACUCUGGGGUGAGAAGGUUCGUCCCAGACCCCCUGAUGUCAUAAGAUGAAAAAGCACCAUAUGAAGUCCAGCCAGUGAGCGGAAAGAUGCGUAAACACCCACGCCUCCCGCACAACUGCCUCAUACGGAGGCCUUCUCUCCUCCUGAACAGGACUGUGUGUUUAAUUACAGUGAGUAACUAUAUUUGCUUUGCAGAACCGUUUAUACCCAAAGCUAUG